GAGUCACACUCACGGGGCCGAGUCAGGAGCACCAAAGUCCUACUGCUCCAGAGGGGUGUCUCCUGCAAAGCAGCUCUCCCACUGUAGUGGCAGCUGGUCCUCCCAGCCAAUUGGCCUGGAGGUCAACUCCUCCCACUGACACCAACAGCAAUCGAGGCUCAACUACAUGACUGUGCACACAGACCACACAGGGGCA